rnacentral:rRNA from 1 species
GACGAACGCUGGCGGCGUGCUUAACACAUGCAAGUCGAACGGAAAGGCCCCUUUGGGGGUACUCGAGUGGCGAACGGGUGAGUAACACGUGAGUAACCUGCCCUUGACUUCGGGAUAACUUCAGGAAACUGGGGCUAAUACCGGAUAGGAAUCCUUGCUGCAUGGUGGGGGUUGGAAAGCUUCGGCGGUUUUGGAUGGACUCGCGGCUUAUCAGCUUGUUGGUGGGGUAGUGGCUUACCAAGGCUUUGACGGGUAGCCGGCCUGAGAGGGCGACCGGCCACAUUGGGACUGAGAUACGGCCCAGACUCCGACGGGAGGCAGCAGGGGGGAAUAUUGCACAAGGGGCGGAAGCCUGAUGCAGCAACGCCGCGUGCGGGAGGACGGCCUUCGGGUUGUAAACCGCUUUCAGCAGGGGCGAAGCUUGUGGUGACGGUACCUGCAGAAGAAGCACCGGCUAACUACGUG